CUCCUACGGGAGGCAGCAGUGGGGAAUUUUUCACAAUGGGGGCAACCCUGACCAAGCCAUGCCGCGUGGAUGAAGAAGGCCUUCCGGUUGGAAGUCCUUUCUUGGAGGACGAAAAGGUGGGUGCUAAUAUCAUCUGCUGUUGACCUGAAUCCAAAAAGAAGCACCGGCUAACUCCCUGCCAGCACCCGCGGUAAUACGGGGGGUGCAAGCGUUAAUCUUAAUCACUGGGCGUGAAGGGUGCGUAGGCGGAACAUUAGGUCUGUCAUGAAAUCCCCGGGCUCAUCCUGGGAAUGGCGGUGGAGACCGGCGCGCUAGAGUAUGGGAGAGGGUGGUGGAAUUCCGGGUGUAGCGGUGAAAUGCAUAUAGAUCUGGAGGAACAUCACUGGCGAAGGCGGCCACCUGGCCCAAUACUGACACUGACGCACGAAAGCGUGGGGAGCAAACAGGAUUACAUACCCUGGU
rnacentral:rRNA from 1 species